GGGGGCUAAAUUAUAUCGCUGCUAACGAUUGUAGGAGAUUUUAUUUUUCUCGGUUCCUUA
rnacentral:tRNA from 1 species